UACAGGGGGUGCAAACGUUGCUCGGAAUCAUUGGGCGUAAAGCGCACGUAGGCGGUUCGUUAUGUCGGAUGUGAAAGCCCUUGGCUCAACCGAGGAAGUGCAUCCGAAACUGGCGAGCUAGAGUACUAAAGAGGAUCGCGGAAUUCCCGGUGUAGAGGUGAAAUUCGUAGAUAUCGGGAGGAACACCGGUGGCGAAGGCGGCGAUCUGGGUAGAUACUGACGCUGAGGUGCGAAAGCGUGGGGAGCAAACAGGG
rnacentral:rRNA from 1 species